rnacentral:rRNA from 1 species
AGAGUUUGAUCCUGGCUCAGGACGAACGCUGGCGGCGUGCCUAACACAUGCAAGUCGAACGGAGUUGAAAGGAGCUUGCUUUUUUCAACUCAGUGGCGGACGGGUGAGUAACGCGUGAGUAACCUGCCUUUCAGAGGGGGAUAACGUUCUGAAAAGAACGCUAAUACCGCAUAAGAUUGUAGUUUCGCAUGGAGCAGCAAUCAAAGGAGCAAUCCGCUGAAAGAUGGACUCGCGUCCGAUUAGAUAGUUGGCGGGGUAACGGCCCACCAAGUCGACGAUCGGUAGCCGGACUGAGAGGUUGAUCGGCCACAUUGGGACUGAGACACGGCCCAGACUCCUACGGGAGGCAGCAGUGAGGGAUAUUGGGCAAUGGGGGAAACCCUGACCCAGCAACGCCGCGUGAGGGAUGACGGUUUUCGGAUUGUAAACCUCUGUCCUCUGUGAAGAUAGUGACGGUAGCAGAGGAGGAAGCUCCGGCUAACUACGUGCCAGCAGCCGCGGUAAUACGUAGGGAGCAAGCGUUGUCCGGAUUUACUGGGUGUAAAGGGUGCGUAGGCGGAUUGGCAAGUCAGAAGUGAAAUCCAUGGGCUUAACCCAUGAACUGCUUUUGAAACUGUUAGUCUUGAGUGAAGUAGAGGUAGGCGGAAUUCCCGGUGUAGCGGUGAAAUGCGUAGAGAUCGGGAGGAACACCAGUGGCGAAGGCGGCCUACUGGGCUUUAACUGACGCUGAGGCACGAAAGUGUGGGUAGCAAACAGGAUUAGAUACCCUGGUAGUCCACACUGUAAACGAUGAUUACUAGGUGUGGGGGGUCUAACCCCCUCCGUGCCGGAGUUAACACAAUAAGUAAUCCACCUGGGGAGUACGACCGCAAGGUUGAAACUCAAAGGAAUUGACGGGGGCCCGCACAAGCAGUGGAGUAU